GCGACAAUACGCUAACGCCUUGCGAUGGUGUUUUAUUUGCAGGCGAUUCUUAUAAUGGCGUCUUCAAUGAUUAUUUUCUUUGAUGUGCAUCCAGUAAUUAAGUUAUUUCAAGAAAAGCAAUUUCAUUGUGAGAUACCAUCAAGUUAAGAAGGUAUCCUGGAAACUUGUGCAACUUCCAUGCUUAGUGCACAGCUGUAUUGCGUGCUGGUGCCUGCUGCUGUCACAGUUGUUCGACGCGACGUUGGAGCAGGAUGUGACGUCGCCGGAAGCGGCAGGUGGUGGAGUGACGGAGCUGUACGCGGCGCACCCUGGCGAGCAGGCGGACAACUCUGGUGGUGGGUCCGCGGCGCUGCUGAGGAAGCUGGGUCCUAUCGUGGUGCCCGAUAAUGAGACGGACGGACUGGCGCAUGAUAGCAGCGAGCAGAGC